ensembl:lncRNA
AUGCAACAUUUCCAUGAGGAAGGAGACCUCAGGGGAAGGAGAGCUCUGGAACUGACUCUCCAUGCGCUGGCCACCAGAUUCCCUCUAGACUGCAGCUCCUCUCUGGCCAGUGUUUCGUGUGGAUGGGGUAAGGUCAGCAUUGCAUGGAAGAUUACAGUAUGUGACAGGAACAGAUGCUGCAGUGAAGAGCAGCCCAUGGCCACAGCUGAACACAGAGCGGCCGGAUUUACUGGAAACCCUCAAACAACCAACGAGCUGUGUCCUUUCAGACAACACACACACACACACACACACACACACACACACACACACACACACACACACACACACACACACACACACACACACACACACACACACACAGACAGACAAGAUAUGAACUGACUGUGAAUCUAUGCAAAAGCUUCAUUGCAUUAUAUAUUAAUGUUAAGUAAUGUCAAGUGGUGUCAAGUAAUUUCAGAAGUGGGGCAAAUUAUAAUUUUUUUUUUAAUAAAAAGAUUAUGAGCAUUGUACAAACACAGUGACCAUUUUUUCUUUGGAAUAGCAAAGUAAAAUGUGUAUUAAAGGGAUUGUUCACCCAAAAAUGCAAAUUUGCUGAAAAAUGUCAGGUCAAAAUGUUACUCUGGAGAAAUUUGGCAUUACAUCACUUGCUCACCAAUGGAUCCUCUGCAGUGAAUGGGUGCCGUCAGAAUGACAGUCCAAACAGCUGAUAAAAACAUCACAAUAAUCCACAAGUAAUCGCCACAACAGUCAAUCAGUUAAUAUCUUAAAGUUAAAGUAAAAAGCUGUGUGUUUGUAAAAAAGCCAUCAUUAAGAUGUUUUAACUUCAAAAUGUUGCUUUUGGCCAAAGCAUUAGGACAUAAUCCAUUAUAGUGCUUCCUCUAGUGAAAAAAAACAUCCAGUGUUGUCCAUUCACAUCAAAAUCCAUUUACAUAUUUAUUUUUGGACUAUUUUUGCUUGUAAACAGUGCUUGAUUUGUGCAUACUUCUCUCCCGAUUCAGGCCAGAUGGAUUUUUCACUGAAGAACGCAACAUUAUGGACUCAUAUUUUAGCCGGAAGCAACAGUCUUUAUGAUGAUUAAAAACCACACCAGCUUAUUGGUGGAGAGGAGACAGGGUGAUGAAGCCAAUCAGUAGAUAUGGGAAUUGUUAGGAGGCCAUGAUGGUCAGAUGCCAAUGGGCAAAUUUGGCGAGGAUGCCAAGGUCACGCCUCCACUCUUUUCAAAAGACAUCCUGGGAUUUUUAAUGACCACAGACAGUCAGGACCUCGGUUUAACGUCUCAUCUGAAGGACGGUGCUUUUUGAAAGUAUAUUGUCCCCGUCACUAUACUGGGGCAUUAGGACUACAGGACCCACACAGACCACAGGGUGAGCACCCACUUCUGGCCUCACUAACACCUCUUCCAGCAGCAACCUAGUUUUCGCAAGAGGUCUCCCAUCCAGGUACUGACCAGGCUCAACCCUGCUUAGCUUCAGUGGGCAACCAGUCUUGGGCUGCAGGGUGAUAUGGCUACAAAUCAACAAUCAACAACUCCUGACUAAUGAAGUCUUGGAGGUCAUAUGCGAGGGUGCGGAGGGCUGUGGAGGUUAAAGCGUAGAAUGAGAAAAUCAAAGCCAGCUGCAGUACAUAAUGAACAUGAGCACUUGUUUGCAUCAUGAGCCUUAAAAAUCCCUUCGUGAUUGGCAGACUGUCUCAGAGACCAAGAAAGCUGUUUAGCGCUGCCUUGCCCAGUAAUCCUGUCACCUCAACCCUGUCACCUUUUAAUAAUAAAUUGAUUACUGUUCUGAAUUGCUGUUGUGCAUCAAUAUAAUUUACCAAAAAUGCACGUGGCCACUCUAUCUGAAGUCUAAUGUGAAACUGUGCAUUAAAAUGCUUGAAUUGAAAGCUAAAGGCUGACGCAGCAGAUCUAUAUUAUGAAGCAUAUACAUGUGCUGCGUCGGUCAGUCCUGGCA